AUAAUAAGUGAAUAAUUUAUUCAACAAUAAGUGACAAAGAAUUUGAUGGUUGGUAUCAAUCAGAGAUCUCAAAUUCGAAUUCUAGUUGAUUCACAUUUUUAGUUAAAUUUAUUUCUAAAUGAAAUAAACGAAACGGAUAGCGUGCUACCUAUCUCUCAAACAAAAAAAAUAAUUUUUUUGAUAAAAUACAAAAUUUAAUUUAAUUGCUUAAAGUGUAAUAUCUUUAUAACUUCAAGUAACAACUAUAUCUCUUUACCGAUAGUUACAUAUAUGUUAAAAAUAACUUCAUAUUACAAC
rnacentral:lncRNA from 1 species